CACGAUUACCCAUCAUUCACUGCUAUAAAUAAUUGACUGUGUGCAGUCCGCAAUGCUUGUUGUUCGGUUAGAGUGAAAUCGCGGCCAUUUUGUCGUUUGAUUUAUAAUUAGACAUGUUUUUGCAUCAGGUAAAGAGCUUAGAAUGAAGUAAAUCUUACGUACUAUAUCUGUUGUGUAUAAGAACGUGUGUGGUGUAUUAUUUUGUUUUCGGGAGUGUUUUAAAAUGUGCUGUGAUUGUAAAAUGGAAACAGAUUUCCGUGUGUGUGUGUUUAACUAUAAAGUGGAGCUAUAUGACGUUACCCCAUACAAAGGCACUGAAGCAGAAUAUGGAAGGUGGCAUUUCUGAUGAAAAUGUGUAAGCUGAAACACGUGUCUGCAUAUAUCAGGAGUCUAUAUUCUUACUGGCAUUAAGAAACUUUGGGAAGUAUAAAUUUCCCACCAACGUCUGAGAAAGAUGGAAAUGCAGUACGAAACAAAACUAUCUUCACUCUUUGACCAGCGAAGUGACGGAUCAGGAUCUCACUUCCAGACCGUAUUCGCCACCGCUGAUGUCAUCAGAAAGCAUCCUUCUGCACCAAGUGAGGGUUUGACACCUGCCGAACAGACUGCUGGUUACAACGGAUGUCAAGGAAGAAGACGAGAUGGAAGUGAUUUGUCACUGUGCCACAGCUACUGGUGGGAAGCUCUGUCUUGAGCAGUCCUUCCGUGACCCCUAGCGUCGGUUCUCCACCAAUCAAUCACAAGCAAAGGGGAGCCCUUGUUUCCCAGCUGACUAACUCACGGACAGACCAAGCAAGCUGGCACAGAAACCGAUUUAUUAUGAGAACUGGACACCACGAAGGAUGUCUGUCGUGCACUGUCUCUUCCUCGAAUUCUUGGCUUUCAUUUUAAACGUCACUCGCUGCUAACUUCCCAAGAGAAAAGGAAUGUCACUUGGCUUAGUCCGACGUCAGAGGUGAAGGCGACAGGUGGUCGCUGCCGAUUAAGAUGCCAGCCAGAAGUGCCGAUUGCAGUGUCAUGCCAGUACACAUCCCUUCAGGAUGUAGCCCGCAUCCAACACAUGAAGUGGUGGCCGAGUUCCCGUUGAUAGAAGUGUCGAGAGACAGUUUCUCCCGGUGGUCACAUCGGCUUCGAUUUCGAGGUCGUAGGAGCCGUGAAACAUGGACAUCCAAGCAAUGCAAUCCAUGGACUGGCUUUUUAAGAAGGAAAGGAUCUACUUAUUGGCUCAAUUCUGGCAGCAGUUUUCGUUUUCGCUUGGAACGAAUUGAAGGAUCGAGAAAUAUCAAUUGAUUCCACAUCGAUUACAGCGGUACAGUGCAGCACAAGGAAAGCGGUUACAUAUCGUAGGUUUAUCAGAAGGUAUUGCCUUCACAGCAGAAACCAAGUUCAUCAUGUACAUAUUUCGUAGAGGGUAAAGGUUUUCUGCACCUCUUCCGGUGAGAGCUAUCCUCUACUUGGCUUCUGUAAUGCGACUAUGUUAAACAUAAAAAUCUAUGGAAAUUUUGCAAAAUUUUAUUCGAUUUU